UGUGGCCUAUGAUGAUUAAUUAUUUGCCUACAUUGUCAGAUUGUCUAAUUCAUGACUGAGACAUACAGCUGAGGCCUUA
rnacentral:snoRNA from 1 species